UAGAGCCUACCACAGAUGAAAAUAACAAGGUCAUUCACCCCGAGCUCGUUGUCACUAGUGUAGUUAAUUGCUACCACAUCACGCAGGAAAAAGCAAUAACCUGCAAACUUCUAAACUCCAUUUAGCUGCUGCAAUGAGUGUGUUUAUUUGUACAGCAUGAUGUAAAAUAUGUAAGUUCACUGAGGAGGACACUUCACAUUGAAAUGUGCUCGGUGACUCUCCAAAGGGGAGGGAGUAGGAAGCAUUACCCUUCAGCAUGACAAGAGCAGUGAAUUAGCCCAUCAGGAAAGGAGAGAGCUCUUGACCUAGUAAUGCAACAGUUGUGGCCCAGAGGAAGUGAAACAAUGUGCUUCUUAACUAACCAAUAGCACUCACACCAUUUUAUAACAGCAAGUUUCAGGGAAAAAGAAUAAAUCUGGGACUAGCCCUUGGGGGACCUGCAAAAGAUGUUUGGCUGCAUGGGCACAACGUUAUCCGCCAAGGCAGGAUGGUCUCCAAGGAUGCAGCUUCAAAGCUGGCAGGAGUUUUGCAAGAGGUCAAGGUGCAAGGUAACAACCAGGCACUCCACAUAGGAAGAGGUGACCAAACUACACUGCUGGUGGCUACUUAUGGCAGUGAGCUAGAAUACCAGUCUGUCCCUAGGGGCUUACCUAUAAAAAAGUAGGAUGUUCUUAGAGGACAGAAGAGAUGUGUCUCCACUGAUGAAAUGGAAUAGUUUUGUUGUUACUGGAUGAAGCUCAUUUCUGCGUUGGUUCAGAACGACACGGAGAUAUGCAGUGAUUCUUUUGGAAAUUACAGCAGCCCCGCUGGAAAUGUAAGAUAAUAUCCAAAAUAAUUAAGAGCUCCUCACACUAUAUUUCCUGCUUGCAUUCUGUCUCCAAGACAUCUUCCAUGGGAGCAAUUCAGCUCUAUGUAUACACUGGGACCAAUUCUGCCCUGCUGAAAAUACGUGGAAUUUCAUGGCUGACUUCGCCAGGAUCAGGAUCAGUCCACAGAGAAAACAUAGCGUGUCGUGUAUGUUUGGACCAUCAACCCCCAAAGCUGACCCUGCACCCUACGCGCAGAACCUCCCGCCUGACCAGCAGAGAUGUGCAGGAUGAGACUCAUCUUGGAACUGUCUGCACUGCCUGGAGCAUGGGGUUGCAUUGCCUUUAUUAUCUUCGCUGCUGUAGUGUGGCUGCAAAUGCUUUUACCGUUGACAAAAAUUAUCUAGCUCCUCAUAAAACUCAACAGAAUCACAUACCUCCAUGGCCUCCUAGUUGGGCAGAUACUCCACACUGUCAGCAGGCCAUAAGGUAUGUUAACUCUGUGCCCCCCCUUUCUUUUGCUGUGCCUUUGUUUUGGUUAAUUUUUAGGUGUAAAAAAGGUUCAGUUGUGAGCAGUCAGCAAAGAAAUCACCAAGGCCUACACACUGGAUUGCCAUCUGUGACUGAGACAGAGGAACACCAGAUUGUGGGGCAGUGAUGGUACAAGGAUGGCUCAUAAAGAUAAGAAGAUGAAAUAAAAAAUCAUAGCUACGUGUAAUGGAAUUUAGAGGCAGGACUUGGAUGCUGAGGCCACCUCUAAAAUGGCUGUCCAGGCACUGAGGGAGGACAGUUCCUAUGUUAAGCAUAAGAUAAACGUGCACAGAGAACAAUCUCCCAAAAUAUUGGGGCAUUUACAUUAAUGCUGCUGUGAAAGCUCUUUGAAGAAACAGCAAAAUUAACACGGAUUAAUUGACUAAUUGAUCUCAUGAAUUAAUAUUCCACAAAAGAGACAUAAGGUUGCAAUGAACACUGAUACUUGUUUUCAACUCACUGUGUCUUCAGUGCCUGAAUGCAAACUUGAUGCCAUCUGUGAAGACCCUGGUACACCAGCCCCAGAAGUUUCUUCUCCCUCUCUUCUUAUGCCUAUGCAUAUGGCAGUGUGUCUGAGGUGAGAAAAUUCAAGAGCUGGGGCUGACAAAGAUUGCUGCAAAGCCUGCUGGGCACUACAGCAGUUGACCAAUGACUUUCUACCCAAGGGAUGCUGAUCCAAAGGGGCUUCUUGGCAGUGAGAUGAGAGAGAUGCAUGGCUGAUUUUCCUACAUAUUACAAACAAUGGAUAAGGUCUUCUGUGCAUUAUUUACUAUUAGGAAGUGUGGAAAGAGAACUGGGAAACGAAUAUUACAGGUAAGCCAUAGCUUUCAUAAAAGCCAAGUUGUAACACAAUGCCCAAGUAGGUAUUUGAGUACAGGAAAGUAUGAGGAAUUUAUACUAAAUCUUUCAGGCAUUAAAAAAAUAAAAAGAGAAGAGGAAGGAGAAAUUUUGAAUGAUUUUUCCCAAAUCAUAUUUGGAUCUAAAAAACUUGGACUCUUCCACCUCCUUGUGCAUUAACUGGAGAGCAAAAUCUGCCUCACCCUACAGUUGUGAUGGACCUCCAUUUCAGCUCAAGUGGAGAUGGGACUGCCUUUGUUCCUGGCAGUAAGCUUUCAAGAAAGAGUAGAGGCCUUUAAAUGAAUAAAUAAAUCUGUAUCUCUUUUUUUUUCCUAAAAUUCAUACUUGGCUAGUUACCUUCAAAACCGAAAAUCAAAACAAAACGAAACAAAUCCUCAAGGAGAUGAGGUGAGACAGAACAACAAGAAAAAGAUUUCUAAGCAUCUCUUCCUCUCUUCCCAAUGCAGGUCCCUCCUGGCUUGCAGGGUUUUUUUGGUUAAUUCAGAGUUUCUGAGCUGCAGCAAUCUGUGCAGCCCUCUUUCUCGUUCCUGGACAGGUUUAUUUGCUCUUCUCCUCUGAGACCAGGCUGUCAGCUCCCUGUGCUUUACUGCAGCUUCUCUCCUUGAGCUACAGGCUUUCAUAAUUGUAAUUUUUCUCUUUCAUGUCCUUUGCUGUGUGACAUGCCAGGCAGCCAGCUCCGAUGCUCCAGCCCUUGUGCUGCAUCCCUGCUUCCAUGCACAUGGGGCCACUUACUCCCUCCUUUAUCGGCCUCCAAAUAAAAUGGAAAAAGCACAAAUCAAAGCUGCAGCCCAGCAGAGUAGGUACAAGGAAACAGAGUGAGCUAAAGCGAGCAAGAGACAAAAAGAGAAAGAGAUAAAAACGAGAAAAUAAAUGAAUUUAUUAAAAAAAAAAGUCAGAAGAAAGCAGCAGAAAGGAAGGGCAGAGAAAAUCUGUAAAACAGAAUAGAAAGGCAAAUAUAGAGAAAGCUGUGGUGCCCUAGCUGCUGUGAGACCAGACAAACAGUUUACAGUGAGUGGGAAAUCAGUCUGUGUGUGCUGUGCACAGAAACUUUUGAAGAGCUUAUCGCAGGGCAAGUUCUGAUCAUGCCCUGAAGAAAUAAGAAUAAUAAGAAUAAUAGGUAUUUCUGAUGGGGAGGGUGUGUGUGCAGGAACAGACGCGGACGAUUCUGCUUCUGUAUAGCUUGUAUGAUGUGUGUAUACACACACAAAUAGAUGUGCAUAUGCAUAUAUGUAAAUUAUAUUUGUUUUAUAUAUAUAAAAUGUGCAUAAAUAUGUGUCAGUACAUGUGUUAGUUGUAUUAAAUGUAGGAACAGGACUCUUAUUUACAGAAAGACAUGCUUAUCUUUUUCAAGGUAGCCUCCUCGUAGCAGUGAUUCCCACCUGGGAGGAGCUGACAGCCUGGGGGAGGACUUGUCCACAUUUACAUUGCAUCCCCAAUGCACUGUCCUACAGUCACCUGACAGUCAGGCAUUGUGUCAGGAGGAGUGGCUGAAAAACCCCAACAGAUAAUGAUGAAAAAUGACAUUUCUUUAGCUACACCUUUACGUUUUUGAGAGUUUGAAAAGGAGCUGAAAUGCUGUUUCAGGUCAGUUCAUUCUUAUUCGAACAAAGGAAGAUUUCCAGCUUUAAGCAUGUCUCCUUAAAUUCAGUUCUCACAAAGAGUUUGUAUGGAGUGAUCACCAAAGCAGGUAUUGUCUCUUUUUAAGUAUCUUUGUAAGAAUAUUCCUUUCUAGUUUUGGCAAGGGACUUGCUUAAGAGUUGCCAGAUAAUGACUGCCUAAAGAAUAUUAAUGUUUUUAGCUCCUCCACUCGAUAAUCAUUUGAAGGAGUGUGUCAAAAUGACAAAAAAAAAAUUACUAGAGCUAUCAUCUUAAAAAGUUUUGUAACCUUGAUUGCAGAAAAUAUGAAACACCUGAAAAUAGACACAUCAGGAGAAUGUAUCAUUUGGAGGCUGUUAAGGAAUACAAGUUUUCACCUUUAAGUAGGCAGAUGGCUUUGGCAGUAAGAAAAUUUUUCUACAAACUAUUUCUCAGCAGUAAAUGUUCUUAGCAUUUGGGGAAUUAAGAAUUUAGAGCACUUGUGAAAAGGAUUAAUUUUACUAAGAAUUUUUUAAGCCCACACAAAGGCUUCUAAAAAUGAGAUCUCUUCCUGCAAAUGGGGAUGAGGAAAGAGCCAUGUGUGUACCAGUCCAGGGGUUGAACCUGGAGCAGGAAGAACGCCUCGAGCUCCCUGCUACGGGCUGCUGGUGGUCAUGACAUGGAGGCAAGGAAAGCAAAUCUGUCAAUUGAAGAGGAAUUCUGCAGAUCCAGUUUCCAUCCGGACCAAACAGAAAGGCCAUGUGCACUCUCAUCUCAUGGGCUGAAAUAAAAGAAAAACAAAACCAAGGCCAUAAAGAGGUCUUUUUCUCAGUUUGUAUUUUAGAUGAGAUUGUUCUCCUGUGUGUCUCCUGACAGCUGUCACAGGCAUCAUCUUCAUCCUCUCCCAUCUCCUUUCCCUGAAAACCACCUCCUAUAAUUACUUUCUGACUACACGCAUGUUAUGUUAGAAGUCCGAGACAGGCUGAGGAUAACUGCCCGGGUCAGUCUGAUCUUCUCCCACCUUUCCUGUCCUUUUUGUUCUAUCUUCUAGUUCUGGGUGAGACCGAUCACGCUCCGAACUCCUCUCAUCUCAUCCUGUCCCUCAUGUCCCAGUCCAGGGCACUAAUUUUGGCUCUCUGAGGUAAAGGAGAGAAAGCAGAAGGAAAUGGAAGAGCUGAAAGCCCAUCUCACACUUCAAGGAGACAGAUAAAGAGCUCGAUCCCCUCACAUCCCUUAAACAGUUGUUAUCUUUAGAGGUCACCUUGAGCUUUGUCUGGAUAAGUAUGAGUCUUUCCAGAGAGUGGGCUGGAAUUUUCCAUGUAAACUGUAAAAAAAUGCAUGGCUACUCUGUGUUCACACAGUCAUUUAUAAUUUGGUGUUUAUUAAGUUACUAUCAAGACUAUCAUGCUGUAAUAUUUGUUUUGCAUUUUUAUUGCACAUAAUGCUUCUUCUAAUGGCACUGUUUCAGAGAUAUGGAAAGUUAAAUAUGCCUACAGAUAAUCACAAUAUCCUUUUGUUUUUCAUAUAGAUAGCCAUCACUUAAUUUAAGCUCUUAGGAUUCAUUUUCUAAAGCAAAACAAGAUUUCAUAAUUGAUAAAAGGGAUAUAUACAUUUGUGCAUUGUGUAUACUUGGCAAUAUCUUUCAGCAGUAGUUUUUGAACUAAAGUAGUUAUUACAAUAAAAUAUAAAAAAAGUUUCUACAGAUAUUGUCUGAUUCAUAUGGACUGUGAUUUAACAAGUGCCAACUCUACCAAACUAUAGUUCUUUAAGAAACAAAUCCUUCAGGUUCCUUUGAAAAUUUCUAGCCUUAAAACUUAGAAUGAGUUUUUGUCAGAGCAAAGUUAAUGCUUCAUCUCUUCUAGGUUAUUAAGUUUUAGUCUUACGCUACCAGUAAGUACAGUGAUAGGUACAUGGAGAGGGCAAUUGACUGUCUCUAAAGGUUAACUGUCUUCUGGCUGAAAAUGAGUACAAUUACUCACCAAAAAGCAAAUGACUAAAACCUUCAUCUGAGGAGUUUUCAGAUGCAACCGGAAUGGACACUGUGUAACUCACAGAGGAUAGGUUUUAUAGAAAGAAAUAAAAAAGCAUCUGAAGAAAUGAAAGAUUAAAGUGAUUCAUGAUAGUGUUCCAAAACAAAUGCAGAUUAUUUUGGCUGUGGGAAGAGAGUAUAUAGUUUACUGUCCUUUCUGAACUUAGUUGCCUCAAAGCUGUAUUAAUUUGUUUAGUUGUGAGGUGGGGGACGAAGGGAAGAGCAUACGUCACUGCAUGGAUUGGUUCCCUGUUUGCAAUGUCACAAGAAAACACUAUUGACCAGGUAGAACUAAGCAUUGGAUAGUGUUCUUUUUGAGCAAAGCCUGACUGUGUUAAAAUCAUUGAAAAGUCUGAGAUUUAAUUCCAAGAAAGUAAGAUCAGAUCAGGACUCUGCAGGUGUAAGAGAUGUAGGAACUCUGCUGGCUUGCCCUGCUGAGCUGCGACAUUUCGGGACUGGAAGUAAUACCAUGGCGAAGUGCAGCCAUGCUCUCACCUCUCCAGAAGCACUGGAGCACUGAGUGAUCUUAAACCACUGAAAGAAAAUACAAAUGAAGUGGAAAAAUUAGUAGUGCGCUGUUAAGAUAAUUCAAAUAUGAUUUUUUUUUCUCUUUUUCUUUCUUCCACUGUAAAGAAGAGUUCAGCAUUUCAUCCUGCUCUAAGAGGCCAAACAAGCCCACUGGAGCACAAGUGUGGAUAAUUUCAGAAAUUGAUAUUUUCUGUCUCUCCAGGAUGACCCAGAAACAGGGAGAAGAGAAGGGAAGUCUGAAGAGCACAACACAGAAACACAAUGGAAGCACAACAUAAUCUGGACAAUUAAAAGUGCUUAAUUCCACUUAAUGUGUCAACUGAGAAGAUGCUCUCAAGCUGUUCGCCGGGCACUUUCACAGCUGGUGGAAUAAGAACAAGACUUAUUGAAGGAUAUUUUGGGAUGGAGGUAAAGGUGGGGAAAGUUUCAAGGUGAAUGAGGAAAAAUAAUUUGUCAACAGACAACUGCUAAGUGGCCCGGGCAGAAGCCAUGCCAUCAGAUGUGAUCAGUUUUUUCUCAGGCAGUGAUUUUACCAUGGUGGGGGACAUGUCACAUCCGACACCUGCAAAUGGCACUUUGAAGACAACCGACAGCACCAAGAGUCAGCCAUGGCAAUGGGUUCUGCUCAACCAGUGCACAGGAAUGAAUGCUGUGAGGCUUUAUUUCAUCUGUUUUCAUCUCAUGCCUGAAAGAUGGUUCAGUGCAGAGCUCUAAAUAUUUCCGUGUUUUCAGAGGAUGAUAUGAGUUGGAUCCUGGGAAGACAAACACACCAAACUUCCUAUUUAUCAUCUGAUCACAGCUGAAAAACUGAUGCAUUUGAGAUCUCAGAAGUUCUUUAAUGUGAAACUGUAAACAAAUUGGCAGCCAAGACAGAAUCCACUCCCAGUUUUAACAGUAAUUAGCUUUCAGAAGUGUUCCUGUAUCUAGUUCUCAAUGCACACAUGCAUUGGUGGCUCAGAGGCUGGAGGAGAGGACCAGCGGUACUGCAGGGCCCCUGCUCAGUGCCUGCCUUCAGUGAACCCCACUGCUGCACAGUGCACAUCUGACCCGAAAGCUAUGGAAGGAAUAACAAUGUAAACAGCAUAAUUAUGUUCACCUUUGAGGCAUAUCUAGAAACUUUGUUCUUCCAGAAGAGUGAUAACAGAAAUGAACGCUGUUGACAAGGUAAACAGAGAGACAUGGCAACCUGCUUGUUAGAGACAGCUAAUGCUUGAGGGAACUCUGCAUUCAGCACCACUGUAAGAAAAAAAAAAACAGCUAAAGCACAAGCUUCUGAAAGCAAUGAUGAGAGAAAACUUGCUAUGAUGGAGACCAAUGGAAAAUUUCCCAUCUCUGCUUCUGUAAAUGAAGAUCUAAGUGCCCACAAAUACAAACUUUCUUUUUGUAGACAAAACUGGACUGGCCAAGACGAAUGCAAAGGGCUCUGGACAGAACAGCACGGAGACACCACAAAAAGGACAAAUGGGACACUCAUUCCUGCAGGAAAACUCCAAACACACUUUCUUCAGGAUUCAGGUAGAGCAUAAAGCAAUAUCUGGACAAGGUAAAAAAUCUGAGCCCCAGUAAAGAGUAUAAGUCAGUGACUUUUGUAACUUAUGCCACAGUCAUUUUGGAUGUUUUAAUCCUUUACAAUGAAAAGUAAGGUCCACAGAGGACCUGUAAGUUUCUUCUGUUAUAUAUAUAUAUAUAUAUAGUUUUUCCAUAUAUUAUAACUUUUUUUUUUUUUUUUUUUUUUGUGGGAGGGAGGGAGAGAGGAAAGACCCAGAAGUCAUUCCAGAAGCACUGUGAAUAUUUUAUUUCUGCUCUCUAUGGGGACAGGAGUUCUGGGUAUUUCAGAACAUACGGGCCUUGAUCUUGGUAACAGAAAGCUGGAUAAAGGGAAAUAUUAUUCUUUUUUCCUGAUGAGUCUCUCCUGAAAUGUUUCACAUGGUUAAAGAUACAUUGAGAAUGGGAUCUGGCUUUGCUGUUGAUGUAAGUCUAUGAGAAAGAAAGUAAUCAGCUGUUUUCAUGCGAUCUGAUAAUGAACUACAAGCUGUGUGAAAUCUACUUGCAUAGUAGUAAGAUGUACAAUAAGCACUCGGAGUGAUUAAUUAUCUGAGCAUGUUUGUAUCCAAUUUGACAGCAAAGACUGACACAGUCAGAAUAUUCAGUCUGUCUGGAGACCAAAACAGAAGCAUGAAUGAAGGAAAAUAAUUAAGUGCAGUAUUUUCCACAAUGUUCUUGAAUUUGGUUUAGAAUAUUAAACCUUGGUAAUAAUUAGUAGUAUGUGCAUGACUCUCAUUAUUUUUAAUGGUGAACAUGUGCUUAACAUCCUGAGUGCUCUACCGAAACUUUAUUGAAAUAGUUUCAAAAGAUGUCCAGAAUGCUGUAGAGCUUAGAGUAAAACAGAUUGCUAAUGCCAACUAAUGUGUGCAAUAAAACCCAUGGCAGUGGCACACUGAUUAGGAUGUGUUUUUCAGAUUCUUAUCUUUACAGAAUAAUUAAUCUUGAAAACCCAGUUGAAAAACAGCGCACUACACAAGGCACAUCUUGCACUCUGAUACAAUCAAAUAAAUCUAAAGUACCUUCAUAUAAGUCAAACUUCUACAGCCAUAAAACUGGUGAGAGAAGAACAGACUUCGGUCAUGUCUCAGAACAGUAGUACGUCAAUGCAUUCUUGACAUGCAAAUUUGCAUGCAAUCAAAGCUUAAAAUGAAUCAUUUUGUGAUACAUGCUCAGUUCUACAGACAGUUUUUUUUAAACCUAGUGCAUAGUUCUCAAUGAAAGCAAAAUUAAGAAACGGCAGAUCUCAUCAUGAAGAUUUUGAAAUAUGGGGGGAAGAAAUUCAAAGUCUUUGCAAGACUAACUACCUCCAACUAUUGGCAUGUUGCAUCGCCUCUUUGUGUUAAUUUGCCCAGCUUUCCAAAAUUUGUUUUUUAAAGCUUUUGAAGCCCUAAAUUUUUGAAACAUAAAGUAGGUUGCCACUGCUGAUAUCACUCUCUAAUUCUUUUGUGGCACUUUAUGAGCCACCAGGCUGCUCCCCUGGCUGACUUCCUCCUCCCGUCCAUGCUCUUGUGAUUUCUCAGUCACCAAACAGCUCUUCAAAACGUGACAGCCAUGGCCAGCAGGCACCCGAGAGUAGUCACAGCCAUUACUCUGUAUCUUUGAAGGCAGAACCCCACAGAAACUAUUUACUAGGUUUUACUGAAAAUAGCAAACUGCAGAAAGAAGUUAGGAUAAGAGAGGAAUUAUAACCUGAGUGGCUUUCAUAAUGGAGCAUUUGAUACCUGGAAGCAGGGGUGAAAAACCUCUCUACUGUUCCUAUUUAUUUGCACAGAACCCUACUAUUUCAGAGUUGUUCCUCGUGAUCAAUAGCAGUUUAAAGAUCUGCAGAGUAAAUCCGGAUGACUAGGGCUCAAAGGCUUGUUAAAUAGACGGCAAUUUUUUUCCCGAAACUGGCUCUUCCUUGGCUCACAAACCAGGGUUUUCAGGAGUAGUGGUAGGAAGAGGAGUGAUAUAUGCAGAGAGAGACUGGGGCUCUGUUCACUAUUGAACGGGAGAAGAAUGAGAGAAAAGCAUAAAGAGAGGAAAUUGGCUGUGCAUGGGUGUAAUGAAUAUGUGGCACAAAGAGGUAAUUAAAUGAAGAAUGGUUUAGCAAAGGAAUAAAGGUGUAGUAUAUAUCUUCACAGAAUAAACAGGCAGGGGUUUUGUGUAAAGUUCACGUCCCUGUGGACAUAUCCUUGCUACUGCUAUGUAAAUAAAUAAACUAGGGUGAAAUAACAAAAACUAGAAGGGUGUGUUGUGACUGCUUGUAGCUGUGGCUCCUGUGGUUUUGAAAAUGGAUACUGUCAUGGAAUAGCCUGUGUGUUCAGUGCCUGUGAUGCUACUAAAAGUAGCCUGAAUUAGAUGAGAUGAUUAAGCAAAUAUGAGCCCAAGGUACAAAUCACUGAGCUUGUUCUAAACACUAAGAUGGAGCUAGUUAAGGAAACAGCAUCUCUUUAUGUGCAAGAGGAAAGAAAUGGUCUGGAGCAAAGACAAAGCCCUUCAAGAUGCUUAACAAAGGUUCAUUAUCAUUGCAGGUGAGGUUCUGUAGAAAUGUAAGUACCAACAGAAAACAUUCAGCUGAAGUAUUUGCACACACACACAAUACACACUCACUAGGCACACGAAGCAAAAAUAUUUACCAAAAGUGCAGAGACUUUGUAAUUCAGCUGAGUUUCAGUACAUUAACAUUCAAAGUAAAGAUAUUUAUUUUAAUUGGAGAGCUGAGUAUUUUAAUAAUGCUGAUUAUUCCAGUACUUAUGCAACACUUCUGUGCAUGUAUCUUAUCAUGAAUGGUUUAUUAAACUGGUUCGAGUGGUCAACAGGCACUGCAAAUGCAUUGACUUUAACUUUAAUGUUGCAUGUUACAUUAGAAAUGGCUGGCUAAACAUAUUUAAGACAUUUAGCAGUGUGAAGUGCUACCCAAAAAUUCAAGCAAAUGUGUUUUUAAUGGUGGUUGAUGUGUUAUGACUAUCCUGUGCCAUAAAUGUUAUGCAUAUUAUUUCUGAGAUAUUUACAGAUUGCAUCUAUAGUACUUCUCUGUUUAUUAAAUUAUGUAAACAAACAUUAAAACGUACCAUAAAAGUAACAGUCAAGUGUAAAGUUCUCUCUCAGAUCUGCACAGCAGGUACCAGUUUGGAUAUCCCACCACCAUUAAGCGUUCAGAACUCUCAUGGCAGGCAAUACAAUCAAAAUUACAGUUCAAAUGAGCAAUUGAAGUGUUGGCAUGAUUAUCUGAGUUUUAUUGAUAUGGAAAUCCGAAAUGGCAACCCUACCUAUUUACAGACAGCCUUGGUGAAAUCAGGUAAGAUAAAACUUAGCACGUUAAGGCCAGCUCGCAAGGACUGUAAAACAGCAUAUGCUGGAGUGUUCCCUUACUGCUAGACUUCUUUAUAAGUGGUAUGGGAGCCAUAUCUGUAAUGAGAAAUAUGAUAUGUUUAAGUUAAGUUUUCCCAACUGUUCCCAUAAGCAACUUCUAAUUUUCAGUUGCUUAUAACUUUCUCUGCACUUACAUUUGCUUUUGACUGCAUAAUUUAAGCCACAUUGUUUUGCAUUUCAUCUCAUCUCAUUCUCAUAGGUGUGAGAACUUUUGGCAGCAGAGCUGUCCUGCAUCAACGAGGUGAUUUUUGCUAACUUGGUAAGAAAAAUUCCCCAGAGGAAAAUCUUUGCAAUCUUUGGCUCACUCCUGCUCAGCAGAGAUCAACAUUGCUGGUGCUGGCAGCAAAUAGAGGGUGAGCAAGAUGGUCUUGCUCAGAUGAUGAAGGGUAAGGACUGAGAUGAAUGAAAGGAGGGAAAUGAAGGAGAGAGACCAAGUGAGGUCAUAGGAAAUGGAAGGGAUCUGGGGUGAAAGUAGUUAUAAGAAAACUGAUGAGAAUAUUAGGGGCCAUAAAGAAAGAAUAGGAGUGAUGAUGCUGGUAAAGAGGAGACCUGGAUCAAUGAAAGGGCACCAUGAGAGCAGAGAUGGGGCAGGAGAUAGGAAAAAUAGCAGUGAGAAGAAAGAGCCAGAGAAAUGGAAUUAAAAGCAAGAAGUGAGUUAGAUGCACAUAUGAACAAACAACAGCCAAGAACUGGCGUCCUUGGCUCAUAUGUGCUUGCUGAAUAGACCUAAUGCUCAGUGCACUGUGAGUAAGGAUCAUUCUGGAAAAGUGUGGUCUUGUGCCUAUAUAUCGUAUACAGCUAUGCAGUGUGUUGUAAAGCAAGUGCACAAAGAGGACACUGCAGUUCAUAUCUUCUUUAUUGUCUGACACUCACCAUAAGCACGCUCUUGAGGCACAGAAACAAGUACGCUUAUGGAGGUCGAUCAUAAGAUGUCCCCCUUAGAUGUGUCCCAGUGGCUCUAUGCCCAUGCUCUUAUUUGACUGUGAUGAAAAAGAUGAAUCUGGGUAAUUCAAUUCUGGAAUGGAUAAGUGUCAGAGAAAGGUCUCUGUCCAUGCUAGGCAGAAAGGUCUGCGGGGAACCCUAAGAGGAUGCAGUUUGUGAGGAGUGAGAUUGGCAUAGAGGAAAGGACCCACCAGGAAUCGUCCAUGGGGCAGUUAGAGCUGCUUCCCAUCUGGUUGUAUGGAGGUGGAGGGGGCCUGUGGCAGGUGUGUUUGGCAGCACCCCCCUUCCUCAUUCCCAUCCUGGCAGGAAUUGCGAGAUUCUGAAAUCACCCAAAUCACCAUGCAGCAUGUCAUAUGGUGAGGUGGAGAGGUUUUGUGUCUGCGGUUGGGAGUGUCCACAGUUCUCUGUCUGCAUAAAUGAGAAAACAGAUCUCCUUGUCUGGACAGAGCGCAAUCACUUCUGUGAUUUUACAUGCUAUAAAAGCUCUUACUGCAUUUUAUACAGUCUGAAUUUCCUUAAAUGAAACUUUUAUCUCAAAAGCCUCCAGUAUUUCCAACCUGGGAAGAGACCUGCUGAAAAAUGAAUAUUAGAGCAUUUCAAUACUGUCCCCAGCUCUGUUUAGCUCUAAAUUAUAAAAUUCUUGAAUUAGCUACUGUCUGUUUUCAGUAGUUUUCCAUUACAAGGGGUCAGGCACCAGAGGAAAUAGUUUUCUAAAUCAGAAAGGAAUAUUAAAUGACACCACCAAUAAGUAUGAACAGUGGUGCAGAAGAUUUAUUGAGUAAUGUGUUAGGUUGAUAAAUGAUAACAUUUAUUUGCAAUUUGAGGAUGUGACCCAAAUGACACUCAUUAGCUCAGCUUGUGUAGAACCGAUUAGUUUUGUAAAUUUAUUAUUUGUCUGGUGCUAUUGGAAGAAGAGUCUGUUUAAUUGAUUGGAAAUCUGUUUCAUUUCAGCAAAUAUUACGUAUUCUGUUCUUAAUUGUAUUCUGUUGUUUCCUCCUGAAUGUCAGGGAGAUUACAGUCUAUUACUUGAGUGGGGGAGUGCUCGGUGCCUUACUAACGGGCUGCAGCGAAUGCAUUAAUCCGUACACAGAGAGGUGGUAAUAAAGCAAGGUUUCAGUUACUUACUGGGAUCCUUAAGAAUACAGCUGGCUCACAGAAUCAUGGAGUGUCCGAGGUUAGCAGGAAUCUCUGGAGGCCACCUGGCCUCAAACCAGGUUGGUUAUUAGGAAAAAUUUCUUCUCAGAAAGAGUGGUAAUGCACUGGCACAGGCUGCCCAGGGAGGUGGUGGUGUCACCAUCCCUGGAGGGGAUCAAGAACCAUGGAGAUGUGCAACUGAGAGAUGUGGUCUAUUGAGCAAUAUUGGUGGCAGGUGGGCAGAUGGACUUGAUGAUCCUAGAAUUCUUUACCAACCUUGACAAUUCUGUGACUCUAUGAAAAACCAGCUCAAGCAUGGCUGGCUGGAGCAGGUUGCCCAGGACCACAUCCAAAUGGCUGAUUCUGUUGGUAAAGCUCAGAUGAUGUGUGUUCAGCUUCCCCACAGAGGUUCCUGGAUUUAAGAGCAUAAUUCCAAAAUACACACUGUUGUGGGUUUUGAUGCCCAUCAUCACUGUGAGAUGAGAUAAUGUCUGUUUCUCUUCAGGAUCCCCUGUAGUUAAGUCUAGAGGUUUGGAGAACCUGAGAGGAAACUGUUGUGUUUGGGGUUUUGAGGAAAAAGUCCAGUGAAUAUCAAACUAUAACAGUGUCCACCCCCUGCAGAAACUAUUCCAGAAUCUCAAAUAGGAAAUAGUGCCUUUCUUUAAGGAGGGUUUGAAAAAUCCUAAUAAAAAUGAGAAGAUUUCUGCGAGUUCAAGCUGUGCAAUACCCUGAACUAGGGAAGAGCUUCAACAGUUAUGAGAAAUACUGACUUGUUGAAAUUGGGAAAAAGUUCAUCUUCACAGAUAUUAAUGUAAGACUCUUCAGAGAGGAAUGCUCUCACAUUAUUGAAGAAGUCCCCCUGCAACAUUUUCUAAAUCCAUUUAGGUGUUUUCCAAUGGCUGGAGAUGAGUUUUGUUUUGACACUUUGUUAUCCCUUAGUGAAGUGCAAACCUUGGAAGAUGAAAACUGAAAUGAAACCUGAGAAAAAUAAAAUCCUUGAGUUGAUCCACAGUAACUCCAUCAGCCUCACCGUCCUCAUGAAACAGGGGGCAAGAAUUGGCUCCUCAUCCUCACCUGGCAGCAACAAACCUUUAAAACAUCAAAAAAUCUAGGGAGACAGGCAUUCAGAAUUCCUGCUUCCUGCAAACAAGCUGUGGUGUAGGGAAAGCCAGCAAACACAGAUGGCAUAAGACUACAGAUUCCACGGCUCCUGAGAACUUCUUCGCCUUUUCACACCCAGCCAAACCUUAAAAAAACUUCUGAAGCCUCAAGAACAUCCAACCAUUUCCUUAUACUUGAUUUCCCUUUACUCUUCCUGUGCUUCCAAACUAGGGCUAAGCCAUUUCAACCAAAAGGUGGCACUGCAAAUUUGUAUGGCUUUUGUAAAAAGACAGCACAAAACAUUGUUUCCUUCCUGAAAAAAAUACUUUUUUCCUCAUUUUUCCUGCAAAAUACUGAGAUUUAAAAAAAAAAAAUUCUUGGGAAAGCUGAGGUCUGAUUUUGGGAUCAUGGGACAAACUCUCAUGUCCUUGCACUGUCGCUUCUCCAUCUUCCAGAAUGGAGAAUAGGAUGGAGAAUUGGAGUCAUGGACUACUGUUGAGAGAAUGCUUUUAGUCUUCUUUGUUUGAUUCAUACCAACACGAAGAAAUAAAGGUAUACUCAUCAGGAAAGUGACCUUUCCUCAUACAACCCUGUUAACUGUCCUGGGUAUUAGUUUGUUGAUAACUUCAGUGUGGACAUUUUUCAACCUGAACAGAACUUGCAGUUGGAAAGUAUUUCCUGACAAGAUUUGCUCAGCCAGUAUUUCCUACCAAAAUAGGCUCAGCUUUGAUAAAUUAUUCUACACUGAUGGCAGUUCAUUUUGUACAAGCCAGAUGUGGCUGGUACUGAUGUGGCCUCAACAGUACCUUGUUUGCAUGUGAAAUCAGGGCUCAAGAUGGUGACAGCAACCAGCUCUGCCACAAGGCAGGACAGCUCCUGCUGUGUUAACGAGGGACUCUGUGCAUGCACAGGGCACAUACAUUUUUCUAAACUAUAUCAAAUACACAUGGAGCCUGCUCUUUCACUUCAAUAUGUAAAACUGCACUGUAAUUUUGUGUUGCCUAUGUUUUCUUCAGAAUGGAUUUCAGUUCCAUCUUAAGAGGAAAUAUUCACAUUUUCCAGUCUCUUCAUAUUCCCACAUUACUCUCAGAGCCAUUUCAUAUCUUCUUUUCCUUUUAUUUCCUUCAAUAAUCACACCACACUUCAUGCAGUUAUGGGCAAAUGGAUAGAGCUCACAGAUAAACCUAUGCUACUGCAAAUGCUGCAAAAGGCAGCUGCAAUGGAGCCCUGAGGGCUUCCUGUGUGUAUUCGUACAAACCCUGGCAGCGGGGUUUGUGCCAAAGUUGUGAUCAAGUAAAGGGUGUGAAGUGGUAAUGUCAAAACACACAUCACCUCAGGAGAUGUGGCCAGAGUGCCAUAUCCAAGGUGGGCUGCUUAAGUUGCACUGUCACGGCUGUGACACCUGUAGCAGACACGGUUAAGGCAGUAAGACUAUCUCUGCCCUAGCUAUUUUCUAGCAUGUGGGAGAUGUGUAAGAUGACAAGUACAUAGUGCUCUAUCAAUUACUAUAGAGAUAUAUUUUAUCCACAUUUAAACUUUCUGGCACAAAGUUUUGUCUUCUAUUUUAUGCAAGUACGUUGGUUACUGCUUUGGGGCAGAAAAUGCCGUGUGGCUUUAAAUGAAAACAUAAACCCGCUCAUAACUGUUACUUGCAUCUCCAUAACGACAUUAUGCUUUUUGUUGUUCACACAUUAUCAUUUGCAGUGCAAAAUAAACAUGCAUGGUAAAACUGUUAAUGAAUAGCACUUGGAUGCAAUUCUAGGAGCAGAACUUAGGCAUGAUGUGGUGGAUGCGAGAAAGAGAAGUUUUGCUAGUACAAUCAGCAAAUCAAGCCAAUGGUGGCAUUUUAUUUUCCUGAUAAGUAUUCACCUUUGUCUAGUUCCACUCUACCAGCAUUCAAACAAUUGUGCAUGGUGCUUUAUAUAUUAGCUGUUCUUUUUCUGCUCAGAACUUUUUCUCCUUUUUAUACAAACACGAAGGAAGGACAUACAGCAGCCAAGCAGAGCAGCUGCAGCUCGUACACAAUUAUAGCUAGGAACAAACAUUUUGAAGUGUUACACAGUGCCUAUCUGCUGUGCUAGCCCUACAGCAAAUGAAAGCAAUACAGGCAUUACCCACUAUCUUACUUGCACUUGUGUGACCUUGUCCACAGUGCAGCUGCCUGGCCUCACUACUGAGCGCUGGCUCCAGUAGGCUUUUAUAUGUCUGACAAACCCAUUGCAUAUAUCCCCAAAUCAACAUAAAAAUCUUCUUAUUUAUACAACUGUGGUAAGUGACUCCAAGAUUAUAUUUUCCUUGCCUGUACGUAGAAUAAAUGAUUAUCUUUCCUCAGUAUAAAGUACAUCAGCCCCGUGAGGCUGUGGACAGUGCUGAAAAAUAAGGCAGCGUUUCCUCUGUGUUCUCUAUUUAUGUGUUGUACAUAACUCAGGGAUAUAGAAAUUAAUACUGCUAAACACCAAGAGGAAGGAUGUAGUCAUUUCACUGCUAGCCCUCAGAUUAGACCAGGAGAUCCAGUUAUUAUUAUUUGCUGCUGUAGCUCAGUCCAUGGUUUAGUGUCCCACAGUUCCCACUCAUUAAUAAGUCUAUAACACAAAAAUUCUUUUCUAAGAGAGCACCCUGCAGGUGCUAGACCAGACCUUGGUACGUUUUACAGAGGAUUUACUCCAUUUCCCAACAAGGCUCUGGGGGCUGCACAGUUUAUGGUAAGGGGACAAGAAUGCCUUGAACAUAUAUCCUUCUAUCUGGUGUGCUUGCUGAUGGUGGGAUUCCAAGGUACAAGUGAGGACACCAUUGAGGCCCUAGUAUAACCAUCACAAACAGCUAUCACAGAGGAAUUAGCAUCCACCCAUCCAAGCUCUCUCAAAUGGCAGCUUCUGUAACACUCUGUGGUGCCGUGGAAGCAGGGAGUGGAAGGUGUAAGAACUGUAUCUUAGAUACACCACAUCUUUAAAUCAUCUACUGACUGAAAAGUACAAAGAUUGAAAUACCACCUUCAGCUUUGAUACUUCAGGCAGGUUUCAGAACAGUGUAGGAAAGGUAUGGGGUUAAAUUUAUGCCAUAGAGUGAUUGCAUGAGAAAAAGUCUCAGAAAGUGUAGCAUAUUUAGGCUGAAAGAAGAAGCAGACUGGCUGAUGAUCUCAUUAUAGUCUCUAAAUAUAUAAAAAGAUUAUAGAAGAAUUUGAUCGUGACCUACCUGGCUGGACUCUGAAAAUUAAGGGAAGAUAUAUUGCCCAUGACGGACAAUGAAAUCUGCACAGAAAUGAAACAGGAAAAGCCUUAAUGAUGUCUUUUGAAUGAAUCGGAGCACAAAGUCUUGAAAUACAAAAUGCAUAUAUAAUAGUUUAACUAAUAAUCAAAGCUGAGGUACGGAGACUAGAGGUGAGCACAGUAUUCUCAAUAACGUUUCUGAAACAGUAGCAUUGCAAAAAUUAUUAUGACAGCCUGAUGGAAUCGUUUUGUAGAAGCUAUGCUCUAGUCCGUUGACUGAAGUAGUAGAGGAGGAUGGUUUCAAACACGCCAUCCAUAGAAAGCAGGAAAAGAGUGGGGUGCUGGGGAGAAGCCAUUGCCAAAGCUGGCUACUCAGCUCAAGGCUGUGUGUGUUGGGCCCAUGCCCAGCCCAGGUGAAGGAAAUCUGUUAUGUGUGUCGUGUAUAUAUGUAUAGUGUAACAGUAAGAUUUCUUAAAACUUUUUCCAAACUUGCACCUAGCAUAAAAAUGCAAAAGAGACUGCCAACAGAUCUUUCAGUGAGUGAACUACUGUUUAAGAUUCAAACAAACAAACAGGCAAUGGUUUUAGCUAGUGAGUCAAAAUAAAUAACCAUAAGUACAAUACUCACACUGGAGGGGAGGAAUUACCCAGGACAGCCACACAACCUCAAAAUCAGGAAAUUAAGAUCAAUGAGGGAAUUCACUCAUGCAGGGCUUUUUACUGAGGAUGGAAAACACAGAGAGUAAGUUAUCAAGUAAGGUCAUAAGAGGCAACAGCAUAAAUGAAUUUAAGAGACAGCUCGACAUUUUUAUGGAGAGAAGGGAUUGAAGCAAUCAGAGGCAGUGACAAAUCAGGGAGAUGGGGCUGAGAUAAAAUUAACAAGGACAGGCUUGCUUGUGGCCAGAGGCAUUUUACUGUCCAGUAAUACCUUAUGUCCUCUGUCAUUACAUCCUAAUCUGACACUGACAUCUGAAGGUAGCAAGAAAUCAUUUACAUCUCUUGGUAUAUUAAAGAGGAAAAAGGGCUUUCAGAGCUUUCCCCAGAGAAGAGAAACAUAACGGUGCUUUUUCAUUUCAACACAUGCAUGAAGCUGCAGUGGGUGCUCCUUCAGAUCAAGGAGAGCAAUCAGAUUCCUAUGCCAUUGCCCUGCUUUGGUGCUGGAUUUGCUCAUCCCGCUGUUGCAACUUCUCUGCUUGCUGAUGCAGUGCCAUACGCUGAUGAGGCAGUGAAAUGGCUGUGGUAGACUUUGUCAAGGUCCCCAGACCCCCAGCAGCCAGGCACUACAUUCAGAGGUGCCUGAAGACAUUUUUUUGUCCCCAGUUUAUAAGGGCAUGAUGCAAAAAUCUGACCAAGUUAAGGGAAGAGCAGCUCCAGCUGUGAAUUUUAUCCAGAACUGGAAAAGAGAGCUGUGAAUUGGAGAAGAGAGCUGUGUGCCAGUAAGGGAGCUGUGUGCCAGUAAGUAAACUGUGUCUAUCCCACACAGUUAAGGAGUUAAUGCUCAUAAAAGGACGAUUGAAGGAAAUGGGCCUUGACGUUUUGGAGAAUGUAGAUUUACAUUUGUUCCAGCUUAAAAGCACAGAGGGCAAGCAGAAGCCAUGGACAAGGAUAUUCAGGGUAACAGAGCAACUCCACAGACUGACAAGAACUGCAAAGCUAUGGCUGGAAGGACAUAGGGCAGAAGGACUUUUUUGGGUAUUAGAGGUAUUCAGGUGAUGCAGGCCCAACAGCCACCUUGGGACAGCAGAUCUGCCUGUGGCCUGGAGAGCUGCCCAAAUCCAGAGAGAUCAGCAUCAGAUACAUCGUGUACACUCUUCUCAAAACCUCACAGAGGUCUUGUGUGGCCGCGCGUUGAGGUAAUUGUGUAUUAGUGUUUCCGGUGUCUUCUCUCCCUUUCUUCUUUGUAAUGUAGAGAAAGGGAUGGAAAAUGAGUCCAGCUCUUCUGGGUGACCAGGAGGAGAGGAGCACAUUGCGGUAAGGAACGAGAGUCCUAAAUCCUCUUUGGAUGCAAAAGGCACUCUGGGGGCACAUCAGGGUAGUGUGCUUUGCAAUGUGCAUGUUCUGAAGAAAAUACCUUGGACACAAAAUCCUUUAAUAGUUCCAUCAUGCUGAAAACACAGUGAUGCUCCCUUAUUGGCAGAAUAUCUUUCCUUCCUGCUACUGGCUUUGUCUUAUUCAUAUAUGCUAAAUUUGACACCAAAAAGCAUGGCAUUUUUUUUGUCUUUCCAAUACAGUUUAUGGAUCUCUAUAAAUAUACAGUGUUUAUGCUCCUCUGUAGAGAAGCUUAGCAGAUUUUUACGGUGUCCUAUUGAAAACAGAGCACAUCUCUUUUUGUGUAGGGUUUACUGUAACUGAUUACUUAAUCUAAACCUCACUAAUGAAGGCUAAACAUAAAUAAUGCUAAUCUGGAAAAAAAAAAAAGCCAGAUCUGAUUAGGCUUCUGUUGAACACAACAGCAAGACUACUAUGCAUUUUCCUUCCACUUUAGCUACUUGCACCGUAAUCUGAAUAUCAAGAUCUUAAAUCCAUCAGGAGCCCAGCAGGCAGCCCACCUUUAUGAACAACUUUACCCUUAGAAUAGAAUGAAAAUGGCUAUUACGAGCCAUCAGGGGAUGGGCAGCCCUGCAGGCUCAGUGUGUUUAGCUAAUAUAGAGCAGGAGGAGGUGGAAGUUCUUGAAUUUGUUUUUGUUUUAAAUGGCCCCUCUGCUUCCCAAGGAGCUUUAUUGAUGGACUGUGAAAGAAAGCUGAGGUCAACUCUUUGUGUUGAUGAGUUAGUGGAGAAAUAUUUAUCUGAGGACUUAUGAAAACUACUUAGCUGUAAUAAUAAUGUCAAAUUGCUGCUAAAUGUGCUUCAGGAACUGUCAUUAACAACAUAGCUGUACAACUUAAUUUUAUUUGUUUAAAUAAAGAUCUCCCAAGCUCACGUUAUUCUAACAUAUUUUAAAAUCUUGCCUGCUGAAAACAGAAAACUGGAGACAGAGAGUAGAUUCUGGAUGAUAUCCAAGCUUUGUCAUAUCCACUCCGUACAGUGGGGACAGUGAUCUCAAUAGGGCUUUAUGGACUCUAUAAACAGUAAUACUGUAGGAUUCCUUUUUGCCAUUCUGUGAUGCAGCUGCAAAAAGAAAUCACCUGCUCCAUCUCAUCAUUGGAGUCCUGGCAGGAAAUAUUUAUGAUGGCACAAGGGAAACUGCCCAUUUCUCUCUUCUUUCUUGGCUGUGUCGAGAACUGCUCUGCAGUGAAGACGAGCAACUUACAAAGUUAUUGCCUAAGGACAGGAUGGUGAGCUACUAGUGCAAAAGAUGCUUAAGACCAAACCCUGUAAGAAUAAAACAAAAUAAAAAAAUAUAAGUAUAUUAAAUAAAAUGAUGAAAUGAUAGAUUUCAUUUACUAGCAUCCUACUUCAUCUAUAAAGCAGACAAAGAUGCAAAGCUAUUCUAUGAGCAGACAUCUCCAAAAAAGAUGUAAAUGGAAGACAGAAAAAGAGGGAAAUCCCUUACAUGCCAGUCCCACUGCAGCACCGGUCUCUCACUUGGGAGUUUGGAGACUUGCCAUCAUCCACUUGAGUCUCAGUUGAACUCAUCUAAUGAAGAGGGUUAUCUGCGUACUUUCUUGAAAGGACUGAUGAACGCUCAUUUAAAAACAGGAUCAUGUUCUAAAAGUGAAACAGUGCUUUCAGAAGAGUAGUUUUGCAUUUUUUAUGAGUUAGGCUGAGGUUAGACUAUCAGCCUUGUGAUGGGGCUGAAAGACCACCUCAGCCAGAAGUGCGAUGAAAUUUAUACUUCCUUCUGAGAUGUUUUUGGUGAGGAUGCCAUCAUCCCUCCCUCUACCUUCAGUCCACUUCUCGUAAGGUAAUACAAGAUUCAUUAAGCCAGGAAAACUGAACAUGCUGCCUCCCCUAAAAAGCAGUAUCAGCUACAAAGGGAUGUGUGGUGGAAACACUGUUUCUUGGUAUUAGGGCUAAUUUUUGCAUAACACCUUCUUCUAACAGAGAUAACAAUGGUUUGAAUCCCAGGCAGAAUAAUUUCUUUUUAAGUUUGAUUAUAUCACCUGAGGGAAAAAAAAAAUAAAGAUAGUUUAACAAUAGUAUUAAGAGUUAGCAGACUUUGCAAGGGUUAAUUGACAAUGUAGGGAACACUUCAAACGGAACUGACACAUCAGUUCUACAUUAAUAUCUUACCUGUCUUAAAACAGCUGUUUCCAUUUUUUUUGGUAGAUCUUAUAAAAUUAAGUUUUACUUCACUGUUCUUGCAGUCUGGAUCGUAUUUGUUUUGCAUUUGAAAUUUGUUUCUUGGAUGAAUCUGAAAAACUCAGAUGUGCAAUUAAGACUAGUAUUGAUGGGCUAAUUUUAAAGUGAUGACACAAAAGUGUUGUUCAUAACAGUGGAAAAAAUAACAGGUCAAAAGUGGCUUAAGCACCUACUUCCAGCCAACAUUGCCUGGAGUGCUCCUCUCUGCACUCAAAAGCCCUGCAAGAAACACUUUAGACCAAUAUAUGCAAAAAGCACUUUUAUAAAACCACUGAGAGGAGGAGAUAAAAAUGGCAAAUACCAUAGCUAUUAUCUGGAAUAAUAUUUUUGAAGUGGAGAGAUGAAAACUCAGAGGAUCUUGAAGAAAAUGUCAGUAUCGAAAUGAAAUGCUUAGCUAGGAAGAUGUUUCUUUUCAAUCUGGAAAUUAUAUCAGCCAGUUACCUCUCCCUUCUGUGGGCAAAACAAAACUGAAAUUCUUAGGACCUGUUAAAAAAAAAAUCUGCAAAUUUUGGAUUAUUGCUUUGAGUAAAAUACUUUAGCUAACCCAUAUUCAAUUUCUUUAUCUACUUUCCAAAUUCCUUCACUCUGCAUUGCAGGUGACUGACGGACCCUGGUCCCUCGCUGGGGUAGGAUUGACCUAAAUGGACAGUUCCCUGAGCAAUGAAGGAGAUAUUUCCUAAAAAACUGUGUUCAAGAUCUGCUUUCAUUUGAACCUGUCCUGAAGUCAAAGAAGUCACUAUGGCUUUAUCUGAAAGCAGAAUUUUGUAUAAAAUCUUCAUUACAUGCCAAUUCCACCAGGAUAAUUCAUAGUUAAGGUCUCUGAACACAUUUAAAAUAAUCCUCUUUUGCUUUAUAUAAUGAAUAGAAUAGAUGGAAUUGCUUUCCCAGACUUUCUGAGGAAAUUGAAGCGAUGUGUUAAAGUUUUAACAGCUUUUAUUUCUCUUUUCAGAUCUUAACCCAGAAUCAAAUAUUAAAGUCCCAAUAUAUUUAAGGAAACCAGAAGUUGCUGUUAUAAUUAAUUUCCUAUCUGAGAAAAAAAAAAAAAAAAAGUAUUGCUAACCACUUUUGGAAAGAAUCUCAGGUGCAGGUUUGUAAUGAUCACCUGGAAGAGCACGCAAUGAUUUCAUGAAGUCGUACUGAAAGAGAAAAAGGGCGAUUUCAGAGGAGUUCUGUUUGGAGGACCUUAGAUACUGCAAAUGAACUGGAAACCUCGGCUGGAAAAAUGCUAAAGCAACAUAACUUUUGUCUUCUUCCAGUGGAGGAAGAUACAGACAAAUUUAUUAUACCAAGAUUUUUGCUGAAAAACAAGCAUUUAAGAUCUAUUUAAAAUUAAUUUUGCAAGAAGGUUUUUUCAGGGAAAUAAUUUAUUUUCCUUCUGGUUAAAUCUUGAAAUACUAGAAGCAGUAGAACUAGUAAUGAAAGAAACACUCAUAGGUAAACUUGAAAAAAUUCCAAUAUUUCAGUUUGCUUAUGUAUUCAACUCUGGCUUAUUAUUUGCAGUCUAACAGUCUUCAUGCUCAGUAUAAAACCUUUAAUUUCCUCUAUAAUAUAUAUCUCCAUGAAAGUGAACAUCUCAGAAGACUUACGCUCUACAGACAUGAUAGCAGACAACACUUUGAAAAUGUUGUUAAGGUUUCACUUGAAAAGGAAAUUAUGCCAAUAGACAUUAAUCAUUUUGGAGGCUUCAUAUUGCUUCACAGAUAUUUAUAAUGUUAAUGAAACCAGUGAUGCUGUUAUGAGCUAGUGAAUCAAGAAGCUCAUUUGCCCCAGUAACAGCAGGGGCUUGAAAUGAGAAAAAAAUCUUUCAUGCAGGGAUGCUGAAGAAUUCUGAGUAUGGAAAAUCUUAUGAGUAUUGUGACAUUCAAAAAUGUCUGGAAAGAUAUGUCAAAAUGUAUAUAAAGAAACACAUGCACAUCUUAUUUUUCUGCAUUUCUUUGCAUUGUAAAAUAUACAACAGCACGUUUUUCUGCCUAUAUCACUUUACUUAACAAUAUAAGGCAGUGAUAGAGUUUUGAAAGUUCCUUAUGAUAUUUUUAUUAUGGUAUUUUGAUAAGUUUUAAGGUUAACAUAAACCAAUCUUUUCUGCCUAAUUUGCUUUUUUUUUCCAUAUAUAAGCAAUUUAAUUCCCAGUUGUGAUAAAUUAUGUAAAUCUUAAGAAAGGAAGAAAGAGAGAGAGAGAAGGAAAGAGAGAAAGAGGGAAAGAAAGGAAGAAAGAGAGAAAGAGAGGAAGAAAGAGAGAAAGAAAGAGACAAUGACAGAGAUUGCAAGAUAGGUUCAAACCCUAAAAAAUAACAAUUUAAAGUUACCCAGAGUUUCUUCUGUAGGGCUAUACAAUCUGUGUGUGAUGUUGAAAUAAUUCGUUGUGGUCACAGCUGGCAAGAUGUUGAAUAUAGUCUUAUUUGUGUUAUUACACAUCUUCUUUUUAACGUCAAGGCUGUAGAGGGUGGUACAAGUGUUGGCUUCAUUUCAGAGUCUGUAGUACCAGCAAGCAUAGCCCAGCUAAAAAUAACGAAUUUUCAACUACUUAUUUUCCUAUUUUACCUUGUUGCCCACAGCCUGAGGUCAAGGCACUUUGGUAUGUAAGCCUUCUGCAAGACAUCUUUGCGUCUACCAAACGUACUUUAGCAGGUAAUGAGAUGCAUUUUUUCAUUGGGGUCAUGCUACCUAAUCAGAUGCUAAAUGCAAUUAUUCAUGGUCGAAACUCAAAUACAGUUUUAGAAAGGGGCUGUAUUACACACUAUAGGAAAUCAACAGGAGGACUGCUUUAAGCAUGUUUUCAGUAUGUCAACAUUCCCUUUAAAUAUUUUUUGAAGUUUUGUAGGAAAAUUUUAGUCAAAAGACAAAAAGAACAAGGUCUGAAAAAGUUGUGAAAAAGGGAUAGCAUGUGAGUGUCAGAAGAAAGACUGGGAGAGAGAACAUGAAAGAAGUAUAGAAAAAGAAAAGAAAUACUAAAAAGAAAGCUGAAGAAAAGAAACAAAGAAAAAGAAAGAAAUAGAGAUAGAGAAUGGGACUCACAUAUAGCAUUUGAUAGCUGUAAUUGCUCUGCUCUUUAUAAAGGCUUCCUUUUUCUGAUUAGAGACUUUAAGAUAGUUACUACUGAAAACAGUAUUUAAAAUUCAUUCUUUUCCUCCUUUUUCUUUGAAUUCUUCAUUAUGUAAAACGUGUACUUUAGUGCUCUUGAAAUGUUUUGUUCUCUUCAUUAAAUUGCUCCAUUUUUAUUUUAA